CUUUCUUCCUCUUCCCCCCACAUUCUCUUUCUAGCACUCCCUUUUUUGUCCAGGACGUAUGAGUAUUCAGACAAGGUUGUUAGGCUGAAUUACAUUAGUAAUUGAACUCACGUAUACAUAUCCUCCUAUUUUCCAUGGUUCUGAUUUUGUCUAUGUAUAUGGAGUUAAAUCUCUACUAGUCACGAUCCCUAUUUUUUUCUGAAUGAAGAGUAAACAGAAA